rnacentral:rRNA from 1 species
AAGAGACAGCAGCAGCCGCGGGAAUACGAAGGGUGCAAGCGUUAAUCGGAAUUACUGGGCGUAAAGCGUGCGUAGGCGGUGAGUUAAGUCUGCUGUGAAAUCCCCGGGCUCAACCUGGGAAUGGCAGUGGAUACUGGCUCGCUAGAGUGUGUCAGAGGAUGGUGGAAUUCCCGGUGUAGCGGUGAAAUGCGUAGAGAUCGGGAGGAACAUCAGUGGCGAAGGCGGCCAUCUGGGACAACACUGACGCUGAGGCACGAAAGCGUGGGGAGCAAACAGGAUUAGAUACCCCCGUAGUCCCUGUCUCUUAUAC